ensembl:lncRNA
AUGAGAAAUACACCACUGAGAUUGUGGGACUGUUUGUUACAGCAGCAUACCCUAGCAAAAGCUGACUGUUACAGUCAUUCAGUAAACAUGGGCCAUUGCUCCCCGCACUUCUCUGAGAUCACACCAAUCACACCUGGGAUGCAAAGCUUCCUCCAAAAUGACAGGGGCUGAAGUCGGGACGUCUGAGAUCAUUAUACUGAUGGCUCCAUAUCUCUCUUUAUAGCAGUUAUCCCAUUGCCAAGCACGUGGCAGGCACUCACUGUACACUUCAUGAUAACUGCAUGAAUCCUGGAGAUCUAAGCGUGAAAUUGUAACUGUGAAUUGGUUGAGUUCUACAGGAUAAAAAG